rnacentral:tRNA from 1 species
GGGCCUACAGCUAUGCCAAGCUACGUUCACUUUACAGCGCUUUCUCCAGGCAUAUCAGCUCGCCCAGCAACUCAUAAUCCUUUGGUCCACGGUUCGAGUCCGUGUGGGCCCACCA